rnacentral:rRNA from 1 species
AAGGGCACCACAAGAACGCGUGGAGCAUGUGGCUUAAUUUGACUCAACGCGGGAAAUCUUACCGGGUCCGGACACACUGAGGAUUGACAGGCAAUAUUAAUACGUGUUCGCACGUAUUAUGUUAAAUAUGCUAGUCCUUUCAUGAUUAUGUGAUAGGUGGUGCAUGGCCGUUCUUAGUUCGUGGAGUGAUCUGUCUGCUUAAUUGCGUUUCACUAAGGGCCUAUAAAUUUACGUGUGUUGCGGCACUUUGACCCCUUUCUUCGGAAAGCGCGUGUCUUAGUUUGCUUUGCUCACACAAUUAGGUCCUGAAAGCAACGAACGUGACCGCAACCUCUUGUUGCCUUUAUACCAAACAUGUUUGUCAUUUUUAUGGCAUUCAUGAAAAAAGGCUUUUUAAACUAGAGGGACCGCUGUUACUUUCUUAAACCAGAGGAAGGUUGCGGCAAUAACAGGUCUGUGAUGCCCUUAGAUGUUCCGGGCUGCACACGUGCUACAAUGAUUAUUGCAGUGAGCAUCUCAUUUUUACACACCGCAUGCGCGAGUCCAUUUAUUCACUUCGGUGCUUUAAAUGUGUAUUUCUGCGCGCGGUAAAGCCUGCUUCGAAAGUAAGUGGGUAAUCAAUUAGAAGUAAUGAUUUCCUUUUUAGCACACAUAUAUACGGCGUCUAUACCCGGGUUACCUUGUUGUAACUUUUGUGUGUAUAGAUGUUUUUUCCGUAUGUGCGAUUGUCAAUUCAUGGUGGGGACAGACCAUUGUUAAUUGUUGGUCUCGGUCUUAACUAGGAAUGCCUUGUACGGGUCUUUGGUUCAACAAACCACCCGGAAUACGUCCCUGCCCUUUGUACACACCGCCCGUCGCUCUUACCGAUGGACUUCUCUGUGAGUUUGAGGGACUGGGAACGCAGAAUUUAUUCUGCACACCUAUGGAAACUUAAACGAACAGUGUGGUCUAAAGGAAAGAGAAGUCGUAACAAGG